GUCAGGUGGAAGGGGGAGAAGGAGGCUAGACGGUGGACGGUGGAGGAGGGAAAGCUCCAUCAAGGCUGGGAGAGCAAAGGAGGAGCCGGACUGGGUGGGAGAAAAGGGCGGGGAGGGAGCAGGAGAGAGCAGGAAGUCCCGCGGGGCGCAGGGGCCGCGUGGGGGGCCCCCCAGCCUCCCUCCAGCGGCCGGUCCCUCCCCCUGCCUGUCAGUCAAGGAGACGAGAAUCCCCUCCCCCCGGGGCUGGCCUCCCACCCGCCUCAGCCCAGAGGCCCCCUUCCCCAGGCCCCCAGUCGCCGCCCCUUGGGGCUGGCUGUGCAGCCCCGAUAGAUGGUGGGGGGCCCAGCUGGUGUGUUAUCAGCCUCCUCCAGGAGCGAGCCUGAGCCACUCGGCGGCUGCCAGCCUGAGAUUAGGCCCCGGAGGGUCAUUAAGCACCGCCCUGGCCCGGGCCCAGCCUCCUUUCCCUCCCUCGGCUGGCCAGGCUGGCAGGUGGGAAGAGGCGAUAAGGGCCAGGGGCUCUGGGGCCCGCAGCUCUGUGCCCCGUGCCCCCUGCCAGGGCAGGAACACGGGGUGGGGGCGGGUCAGUGCCAGCCCAGCACCUGCAGGGACCCCAGAGUUCCCACCAUGCCGGUUGGUCCAGCCCGGGAGGGGCUGAGGAGACUCCCAGAGAGGCCAAGGCAGGGAGCGGGUGGUGCCCCAGGAACCAGGAGGACUGCAGCGGCGCCCCCAGGCCCUGGGACGCCUCACAGAGUCCAGACUCCCAGUCUCGUGUGCAGCCCCUACCCACGCGUGCACCCAGGGCAGCCAGAACCGUUGUGCUCAGGCCACCUCUCCUCCCAAGACCAGCAUACAAGCUAGCGCUGGGGUCCUGUCGCAGGAAAGGAACCCCUGGUACCCUCAGUGUCUUCUUCCCACAACUGCAAUGCCUUCCCCUGCAUGCUCUAUCCUGAACCUGGCUCCUCUGCACUCCUCAGCCCUCAGAAUAAACGUGCCAUCAGAAGCCCUCUUGGACCACGGUCCCUGGGCCCCCAGACCAGGGCAGGCGCAGCACCACAGUGCACUCCCUCCUACCAUGGAGCUGAAACUUGCGCUGUGAUUGCUCCUGGCCUUCCGGUCUGGGAGCCUGGAGUGUGGGGCUGUGUGUGUCCCACUGACCCUCUGAACCCCAGCGUGUGGCACCUGACCCUGAAGAAAGAUGCAGCCUUCUUCCCAGAGGUUUGCAAAGCCCCCAUCACAGGCUGGGCCAGCGUCCUGACUACGGAGAGACACAGAGCCCUCAGGGAGAGAAGACCCCGGAGCUCACGGUGAAUGAGAACCAGAGCUGUGGGGUCCGACGAGCCCGGCUGGCAGCCACUGAGCCUGAGCUCCCGGCCGGAAGACCUUCAGCUCAGUGUCACUCCACACAGGGACAGGCCUGGACUCUGGGCUUCCACGGCCCUUCUCAGCACUCCUAGAGCAGUAGCAGUGGUCCUGGGGUCUGGCCUGCCUGUGCCAGCGCAGACCCUGCCCCCAGCCACCCCUUCCCGGGCAGCACUCACGGCUCUUCCUGGCACCAGAAGCGGUUGACAGCAAAGGCGAUUGCCACGAGGACCAGGAACACAGCCACAGCGAUUAGGCCUUGCAUCCAGGGCUGCAGGUUGCCCAGGCCUGGAGAGAGGGGAGUGGGGAUGCUGCAGGUGGCUCAGCUGCUGUGGGGGCUGCAAGUGCAGAACCCUGGAAGGAGGGGAUGCUCCAAGGGCUAGAGCCUGUGUCUGAGGCCAUCAGCUGGCUGCCAGGACCAGAGGAGACAUCCUGGGGCAGCAGCGGUGGUGGCGAGGGGGACCCGCUUGACCCCCCACUGAGCUGAGAAAGGGAUGACACUUGGGAAAAUGAAUUCAAAAAAGGAAUGAGGAGCCAAGGAGAGACAGCCCAGAGCCCCCACCUGCCCCACCACAUGGGUCACCUGCAGGGCCCCCUACGGAGUGUCUGGGCCCCAGGGACCAAAGGGCAGCCCUCUGGACAGCUGGCCUGGGCCCUGCCAGCCCACGGUGUCUCCCGUUUGCCCUGGCUCCCAGAAGGCCGGAGCGGCCCGAGCUGAUAGGACUGGGCUGGUAUCUGGAAGAUCCUGUUCUGUAAUGAGGUUUCCCUGGUACGGGUAGGGCGUGGGAGUGUAGGACAGGCAAGGCUGCUUAGCUAGGGGUGCCCAGAGAGGGGUGGGACCAAACACCCUUGGAAGAGCAAGGCAGAGGGGCCAGGGCUCCUCCAGGCCGUGGGGCCAGGAAGAGAGCUUCAAACCUGAGCCCCUUUGGUCUCCUCCAGCUGGGGGCCUACCGGACUAGGCCAGACACCAGGUUGAGGCCCCAUUCAUCACCUCCUCUACCUCCUGACCCUUGACCUUUGACAGCACCUCUCACCCUCCAGGUUUCCCCAAAUCUCUGCCCUCAGCCACUGGCAGGCCAGACAGGCUCUCCCCUCCCCCGGCAUCCCUGUGCUCCAGGAGCCUGAGAGAACCGGGCCCUGCAGAGGAUAGACACGCAGUAGCAGACAGGUCUCAGGAGGGGACUGAAGCCAACAGGAGGCUCCUAGAGGGUCUUGCCUCCAGGCCAGAACACAUGCAGCCCUAGUGCCACCCUGUAUUUAGGAGGGCCCAGGCUGGGCAUCAAAGCCCUCAUUCUGUCUCAUUCUGUCUCAGUCUCACUCAAAAGUCCUUCCUUGAGUCUACCCUAAAGCUCUCCUGCUACAGAGAAGGCCCAGUCUGUUCUCUGAGUAAACUCUGAGUCUGGCAGAUAUAGGGAAGACGGGAAGGAUCUGGGAAUUCUCUGGCCUGGGGCCAAGUCACUGUGGUUACCCUGAGUUCCAUACUGGCCAAAAAGCAGUGCUUUGGACUCAUUGUUUCCCCCAAGAAACAAUGGAUCAGACCCAUGUUUCCUCAGGUCGGUGGUUACUCCAGGAUGGGGAGUAGGGCUAAGCCCUGGGAGGCCCCCGUCUGCCUCCUCCAGACCUUGCAGCCAGCUCCCUCCAGAUACCAAGGAGCCCUAGUCCCUGCUGCUCCUUCCCUGUGGCUCUGAAGUGAGCAGAGAGCCUCAGGCGGGAACGAGGUGACCUGAGCCCUGUCCUAGAAGGAUCGCAAGUCCCUCCGUUGUCACCUCAAAUUUCCUUGUCGAUGAAGUUCUUUCCGGCUCAUCUCUUAAAUUGGGCAAAAUAUCCUGCGGGCCAUGCAUCCGCUGCUGGGAACCCAGACCACCCCCUCAAGCAAUCGGGACUGCCCUGAGCCAGCCAGACCCCGCCGGUGAUUGACCCCAACACGGAGAUCCCCCCGACCUUCACUGCCCACCUGCACGGACCCACCUAUUUUUGCCCUACAUUUUUUGCACCUAAACCUGGAAGUACAUUUGGCACGCUGGAGACAGUCUUGGCCUCACCAAAAUAAAUCCCUUUCUUGUUUCA